rnacentral:rRNA from 1 species
GUGAGGAAUAUUGGGCAAUGCCCGCAAGGGUGACCCAGCAACGCCGCGUGGAGGAUGAAGGCCGUAAGGUUGUAAACUCCUGUUAGAGGAGAAGAAUAGUACCGAUUGGAUCGGUAUUUGACUGUACCCUCAGAGAAAGCCCCGGCUAACUACGUGCCAGCAGCCGCGGUAAUACGUAGGGGGCAAGCGUUGUCCGGAUUUACUGGGUGUAAAGGGCGCGCAGGCGGGAUAGCAAGUCAGAGGUGAAAUCCUACAGCUUAACUGUAGAACUGCCUUUGAUACUGUUAUUCUUGAGUUCGGGAGAGAGAGACGGAAUUCCAGGUGUAGUGGUGAAAUACGUAGAUAUCUGGAAGAACACCAGUUGCGAAGGCGGUCUCUUGGUCCGAUACUGACGCUGAGGCGCGAAAGCGUGGGGAGCAAACAGGAUUAGAUACCCCAGUAGUCC